GAAUUGUUCGCAAUGGGCGCAAGCCUGACGACGCAACGCCGCGUGGAGGAUGAAGAUUUUCGGAUCGUAAACUCCUGUCGAGUGGGAAGAACAGCCUCCGGGUGAAUAUUCCGGGAGCCUGACGGUACCACUAAAGGAAGCCCCGGCUAACUCCGUGCCAGCAGCCGCGGUAAUACGGGGGGGGCAAGCGUUGUUCGGAAUUACUGGGCGUAAAGGGCUCGUAGGCGGCCAACUAAGUCGGAUGUGAAAUCCCCAGGCUCAAUCUGGGAACUGCAUCCGAUACUGGAUGGCUUGAAUGCGGGAGAGGGAUGCAGAAUUCCAGGUGUAGCGGUGAAAUGCGUAGAUAUCUGGAGGAAUACCGGUGGCGAAGGCGGCAUCCUGGACCGACAUUGACGCUGAGGAGCGAAAGCUAGGGGAGCAAACGGG
rnacentral:rRNA from 1 species